rnacentral:rRNA from 1 species
GAUCAUGGCUCAGGAUGAACGCUAGCUACAGGCUUAACACAUGGCAAGUCGAGGGGGCAGCAUGAACAAGCUUGCUUUGUUUGAUGGCGACCGGCGCACGGGUGCGUAACACGUAUCCAAUCUGCCCGCGGCUCGGGGAUAGCCCAUCGAAAGAUGGAUUAAUACCCGAUGGUGUGGUUUCUCCGCAUGGGGGUUUCCACUAAAAGGUUUUCCGGCCGCGGAUGAGGAUGCGUAUGAUUAGGUAGUAGGCGGGGUAACGGCCCACCUAGCCUUCGAUCAUUAGGGGUUCUGAGAGGAAGGUCCCCCACACUGGAACUGAGACACGGUCCAGACUCCUACGGGAGGCAGCAGUGAGGAAUAUUGGUCAAUGGGCGAGAGCCUGAACCAGCCAAGUAGCGUGAAGGAUGACUGCCCUAUGGGUUGUAAACUUCUUUUGUUCGGGAAUAAAGUGCAGUACGUGUACUGUUUUGUAUGUACCGUUCGAAUAAGCAUCGGCUAAUUCCGUG